CGAAGGGAUCAGACCGGACAGGUAAUUUUGUGAAUUGUGAUAGAUUUAGCUCAUAGAGACUGCUCAGUUUUGUGACCGCCAUCAAAAUCAGACCUGAGAUCUGGUUGUGUGCGAGAUUCAGCACGUUGAGGGACACCAGGCUGUCGAGUUUAGGCGGCAUUGUUCCAGGUUUACUUUGUUCAGUUCAAUUUGUCUAGAUUUUACAUAUUCAUGAAUAGCCCUUUAUUAUUGGUGCAACUAAUAUUCAGUCGCUAAAAUAUCAAUGGCCUACCAAAUUUCGCAAAAAAGGAUGAGCACUACACGAACCAUUCCUGUACUUUGUAAGCCUUCCCUCCUAAAAGCUUCAGAAUCUUAACAUGUUACAGUUAGUUCUUAGAAGAUUUUAUGUGCAUCAUAAUUCUAAAACUUUAGCCAGUUUACACCUGUUAUUUAGUCUACUCCUUGAAAAAAGUUUUUCCCUUUGAUCUAAACAUGAAUGCUUCCUUUUACUCCAACAUCACAGCAAAAAAAAAUCAAAAGCAUUGCACUUCUUACUACUGAUACCCCUAUGUCACUACUACCAUACAGGUUAGUGCACGAUCCUUACCUUUAUGUUCUACAUGUCUUUGGGUUUCUCUUUUUUUCAAGUGCGUUCUAUUAUUGUUUAUAUGUCCACCUUCACACUGAUUAGCUGUUCCUUGUUCCUACACAGUUAUUAUCUGUUAUGUACAUUUUUAUACCUUUCCAAAUUAGCUUAUUAUCUUUAAAAAAUUGUAUUUUCUUGGCUACUUUACAUUUGAAUGACCAAUGGCAACAUCUUCAAACAAACAUAGCUAACUUAGAGGAAAGAAAACAUAAUCUUUAAAUUGCUCAUAAGAGAGAAUGUCAUUUUUCAGAAAAAAAGAAAAACAGUAUUGAUGCUUUAGAAAAUCUUAAACUGAUGCAUGUUAAUAUUAUCAUAUCAAUGCCAACAACAUAUGUUUAAGCUGGUUUCAUCCUUCCUAGCAGCUCUACUUGCUUCAUCUCGCUCUUCACUGCUAUUUUUUAAAUUGGAAGGAAAAUAAGAGUACGAUAGAAGAACUUGAAGCGCAUUCACUGGUCUCUUAUUUAAAGUCCAUAAAGCAAAGUUCCAAAAAAACAAAAAGAAACAUUGAGUUGCCUUCACCCGGCUUCUCUUGAGAAAAUACAAGGUAAACAUAUUUGGCAAUUGUAAUAUAUGUUGUUAUUUUGCUCUUUAGUUGCUUCAAAUUGUUUAUGGGUACCAGUAGGCAACUCAGAAGAGACAACAACUGUACUUUCUCAGGCGUUAAGAAAUUCUUUAGAAAGGCAUAUUAUUACUACAUAUAGAGCUAGGAGUAGAUCUUCAUCCGAACCCCUCCAACGACGACUAGGUCGGCGUUUUCUCUCCCUGCUGUUUCAGGUUUGUUACAUUUCAACCUGUGGGCUUUCUUUCAGACAAUUGCAUUUCAUCUAGCAUUCACAUGGGAAGCUCUGAAAUCUGCCAGCUUAAAAACUAGAUGUACCAAACAUGCUAUCUGAGCACCGCACUGAUACAACCUUUGAUAGUCUGCGUUUUCUCUCCCUGCUGUUUCAGGUUUGUUACAUUUCAACCUGUGGGGUUUCUUUCAGACAAUUGCAUUUCAUCUAGCAUUCACAUGGGAAGCUCUCAAAUCUGCCAGCUUAAAAACUAGAUGUACCAAACAUGCUAUCUGAGCACCGCACUGAUACAACCUUUGAUCAGUAUUUAGUACUACUUGCUCUUCCAUAUUAAUACUACUGGUACUACUAUUUCAUUGCACGUUUACAUGACAUGGAACAGAGACUGAAUUUAGUCGAGUGGGUUCACCUGCAGUUCCGGUAUGCAAACUACACGAAUGAUGCCUACAACAAGAGUGGGAACGAAUCCUUGUGGCUGCAGCUGAUAAACCAGAGAGCAUAGACUUAACCUUUGUGCUCUUCUCGACAGGCUUCUUUGCUGUUAGACUUUAACCAAUUCAUCUCAUGUCCCAAGUUCAAUUUUAUGUAAUGAGGAUUGCAUGGUAUUUUUUGGCAAUUUAUCUUUAAUGAACUAUAAUGUAUAGCUGAAGUUGGUUGCAGUUUGAAACAAUGCGACAUUUAAAAACCCAUAGACCAGACUCGCGCAGGGCGCGAGCAAUUCACUAGUAGCAUAAAACGCGGUCAAGAAAUAGCUGUGCUCCAACCAAUAAUCGGCUAGCGGGCGUUCUGUCUCCCGCAUCCCAACGAGAAUUAAUUACACGAGUGACGGACGGGACGACGUAGCCGCGACGCACCGGGCGGGCGCCCAUGGGCCAUCGCCGACCGGUCGCCAUCGCGUCGGAGUCGAACGGAGGAGUCCACCGCUACUACGAAAGGAUUGCCUGCCAAUCACGUCCACUCC
rnacentral:lncRNA from 1 species